AAAUACCAAGGCUUGUCAUCAUAUACUUCUUCUACUGCAAAUACGUGAGCAGGUCUAUCCAAGCGCAUCACGGCAAUGUUGGGAACUUCAUUCCAAUACUUGACAACAAUCAUGGAAGCAAGCGUAGCAAGAGAAUCUGCCAUCCGAUUAUCCUCUCGAGGAAAAUGAUGAAAAUCAACUUCUGUAAAGAACGUUGAAAUCCUUCUUGCGUAAUCUCUGUACGGAAUGAGACCAGGCUGAUUCGUC
rnacentral:lncRNA from 1 species